AUUGAACGCUGGCGGCAUGCCUUACACAUGCAAGUCGAACGGCAGCAUGGAGGAGCUUGCUCCUCUGAUGGCGAGUGGCGAACGGGUGAGUAAAGCAUCGGAACGUGCCGUGUAGUGGGGGAUAACGUAGCGAAAGUUACGCUAAUACCGCAUACGCACCGAGGUGGAAAGCAGGGGAUCGCAAGACCUUGCGCUAUACGAGCGGCCGAUGUCAGAUUAGCUAGUUGGUAGGGUAAAGGCCUACCAAGGCGACGAUCUGUAGCGGGUCUGAGAGGAUGAUCCGCCACACUGGGACUGAGACACGGCCCAGACUCCUACGGGAGGCAGCAGUGGGGAAUUUUGGACAAUGGGGGAAACCCUGAUCCAGCCAUGCCGCGUGAGUGAAGAAGGCCUUCGGGUUGUAAAGCUCUUUCGGCUGGGAAGAAAUCGCACAGGCUAAUACUCUGUGUGGAUGACGGUACCAGCAUAAGAAGCACCGGCUAACUACGUGCCAGCCGCCGCAGUAA
rnacentral:rRNA from 1 species